CAGUUGGGGAGCAGGCACAGAUGCAUGGGGACCAAACAAAGAAGAUGGUCAUGCCUCAGCUUGUCACUGUGACGGUCUUGUCGAGGUGGUUGGACUUCAGGGAGUAAUGCACCUAGGUCAAAUUCAAAGUGGAAUCAGGACUGGUAUUCGGCUAGCACAGG